ACAGUGUGUUGCUUGGGACAGUAAAUACGCCAAAGGAGAACUUAUCUUUGGGUCCCACAUGGCUACGUGACCCUCUGAUAUCACCAGUGUGAUGUUGCAGCUUCCCAGACACAGCUGUCUUUGAACACAUGCAACAUAGGGCUGUCAAUGAAUAAAUAAAACUCCAUGAGCAGGAGAGAGCCCACACCUAGACACCCUGCAAUUCGAUCCUGCUGUGUUUCACCUUCCACAGGCUUCGGCCACACGGUGCAUGUGUUUACAAAAAUCACACACACACACACACACACACACACACACACACACGGGAAACCAGAUUUUUUCUGUUGUGCUUUAUGGUGACACAAAUUAUGGGUUGCUCUAUUCUCCAUUGUUUCUAUGCAAACUGCUUGACUUUUUGUUCAUAAAAGUAAAAUUAGCAACAACAACAAAAAGAAUCUUUUUCUCCUCACUCCCACCCUUCUUGCUAUUUUAUAUCUAAAGGUUGAUACAACUCAUUGACUUGGGUAAAAUGGAGACAAGAGUCAACAGAAAGAGUACAGAAAAAAAACCCAGCCCCUCACUCAACACUUAUGAGGCCUUAGGUGGGGCUCUCGCUGAGAUCACCAUGAAUAACCCAGGUGAAGACAGGCCUGAAGCAAGCAGAGUCUUGCUGGCCCCAGGAGGAUUUCCCCCAAUGAGCAAGAAGAAACAUCCUCUUAUUUGACUGCUCGACAGGGAAGCUUACAGGAGGUGCCACUUUCUCGAGGCCUGCCUUCUGUAGGGAAGAAACAGGACUUGAGAAGCAAGGAGAACUCUGAGGAGCUGGCAGUCCAGACUCUGCCACCAAUCACUGGGUGGCCAGGGAUAGGAUGACCAGGUUGACAGGAGGAGGUGGGGCUGACUUUGAGUGUUCUAAUCCUGCCUCUUUAUUAACUAUAUAAAUGUGGACAAAGCCCUCCUAAGCCACUUCUCUUCAGGCUUAUUAUUUCCACCAAAGCGACCUGUUCUUUCUCCUACUCCAAUAGAGAAAUUGCUUCAAACUUGUUCUGGGCCCAGAUCUGUUUUCCAAGCAGUCUGCCUGGCUCAGAAAUUUAGCUCCUGCCAGGGACCACUUUCUUGUGCAAACAAGGACAGCUAUUUCCCCCAGGCCCUGGCUCAGAGGAAUGUUAAACUCUGUUAAGGCCUUUGUGGGACAUCCUGGGAGUAAAUACAAUUUAUAUCCAUUUCAUCGUUGGAUGCCGGGCCUGUUUUAUAGAGCUCUCUAUCGCAGUUACUCAACCCAGUCCAAUCAUGUCUAAUAUAUUCAUAGCCAAGAUAUAAGAUAUUCUGUUGCUGCUGUCCUUGAAGGAUCUUUUUACUUUGGACUUAACUGAUCCUCUCAAAUGGGUAGCCAGGGCCAGGGAAUGCGCACGGGGAUUAACAGGACCGAGUUAAGGCUGACCGCAAAGGCAAAUCGUUGCCAUUCACUCAUUAAGUCAUCAAACAUAUUACUGAGCUCCUGCUGCUUCAUUCCAGGCGCUGUGCUAGACACUGAGGACACAGAGAUGAAAGCU